UGAGGUUUAUGAAGCCGCGUGUCUGUGACAAUAGGUAAAGAGUGAUAUAACUUUAAUGGUUGGUGUAUUAAGUCGUGUGGCUGUGACAAUAGGUAAAGAGUUAUAUUUUUAAUAGUUAGUGUAUAUAAGUCUAUAUGGCACCUGUUUUUGUAUAUCUUUCUGUACACCGAAUCGCUGUAUCUACAGAUAUUUACGACAUCUACCCCUGAACAACAGUCAUGAGAAGCUUAAUGAUCACCGUCUGUAUUGCCCUGUGCACAGUUACAUUUGGAGAAUCUAAAAUAAGAAGCAGGAGACAAGUUGCUUAUGGAUACGGUGCUGUAGAUCCCGCUGCUUAUGGUGGGGCGGUGGUUGAUCCAGCUCAGUAUGCUACUUAUGGUGCAGCAGCCAAUCCAGCUGCUUAUCAACCUGCUUACCAACCAGCUGCAGCUGCUUAUGGCAAUGCUGCUUAUGCACAACCAGCUUAUCAACAAGCAGCAGUUAACCCUGCAUAUGCUCAACCUGCCAGUCCAUACGGUUAUGCUAUCACUCCUUAGAGUACUAAUUCUAUUUGAAACACGACCCUUGUUGGACAGUCUGAAAAUAUCCUCCAAUAUGCGAUGGGUUGGGGGUAUUAUUUGAAAAGAUUUUUGACGCAGCAUAAUGCAUGUAUGUGUAUUUAAAUGAUGGUGUAUGAUUUUUAUUCUUGUAAAUGUAUUAUAUUAAAUAAAAGUGAGUUAAUAA